ACUCGAGUGGCGAACGGGUGAGUAACACGUGGGUGAUCUGCCCUGCACUUCGGGAUAAGCCUGGGAAACUGGGUCUAAUACCGGAUAGGAGCUCCUGCUGCAUGGUGGGGGUUGGAAAGUUUCGGCGGUUGGGGAUGGACUCGCGGCUUAUCAGCUUGUUGGUGGGGUAGUGGCUUACCAAGGCUUUGACGGGUAGCCGGCCUGAGAGGGUGACCGGCCACAUUGGGACUGAGAUACGGCCCGG
rnacentral:rRNA from 1 species